rnacentral:tRNA from 2 species
GCAGGACUGGUGGAAUUGGUAUACACGGCAGCUUCAAAUACUGCAGGCGAAAGCCAUAAGGGUUCAAAUCCCUUGUCCUGUA